UGGCGUGCACCUGUAAUCCCAGCUACUCGGGAGGCUCAGGCAGGAAGAUCACUUGAGCUCAGAAGUUCUGGGCUGCAGUGCGCUGUGUGUAUGGGGUGUCUGCACUAAGUUCGGCAUCAAUAUGGUGCCCUCCCGGGAGAGGGGACCCACCAGGUUGCCUAAGGAGCCGUGAACCGGCCCAGGUCAGAAACAGAGCAGGUCAACUCCCGUGCUGAUCAG
rnacentral:sRNA from 1 species